rnacentral:rRNA from 1 species
CCAGCUGCGUGAAUUAAUGUGAAUUGCAGGACACAUUGAACAUCGAUAUCUUGAACGCACAUUGCGGCUUUGGGUCACUCCCGAAGCCACGCCUGUCUGAGGGUCGGUGAAACAUCAAUCGCAAAAGAAAUUUUGCGCCUUGGGUCGUCGCAGUGACUCUUGUCUCACUUCGUGGCCUUAAAUGCAGACCGGUGUCUCCGACCGACUGUCUCUGUGCGGAGGGACGCAUGCCUGGAGAAAUGCUCUUUCUUUCUCGCGAUUCCCUUUCCCGCAGUGCUCUGUUAAAGCAGGGACGGGCGGGUAGAGAUACCUCACCAGAUGGGUUUGCCUUGCCCCUCCUUUGGCUUGCUCUGUUGCCAACAAGGAGGGCCACACAACCAUCCUAUCUCCGACCUCAGAUCAGACGAGAGUACCCGCUGAAUUUAAGCAUAUCACUAAGCGGAGGAAAAGAAACUAACCAGGAUUCCCCUAGUAAUGGA